UAUUUUCAAUUGAAGAUGACUGGAGCAGAAAAACAAUACGAACGACGGAGCUAAACAAAAAUACAACAAAGCAGCAACAAUUCCAGAAGAUACAACUGAAUAAAAUGAGAAUAUUCGCACCAAAACAACGGAGCAAAUUGUCCCGCGUCACUUCUGAACGACAUCAUGAGCAAUACUAGGGAAGAAACUAAAGCUCACUUUGAUGGAAAAACCGAAGCUACUGUCAAUUAUGAUGUCUUCAAUUAUGUGUUGGGUGUAGUUAUGUGUAUUGCGUUUGUUACUUGCAUGUGUGUUUGCUCUUUUAUGUGCAUCUGUCAAUUCAGAAC